GAAACUGAAUUGACCCCAUUGCUAAAGAUGUACCGCUCAGUUCUCAUUCUACUUGGCAUAUCUAAGAUCCCGCACAAAUCUUCAAACUGUGUCUUGAAGGUCCUCUAAACGGUAUAAGCCUCAACAUCCACAGAGCCUAGACCUGCCUUGCUUUGCCCUAUAAGGUUUUCAAAUAGUUAGAAGUCAUUGACCCCAAAGGGAAUCUUGCUGCUAAGGCCUGGGGCUGCAUGAACUCUACAAAGUGCCCAAGUUCUGACCUCCUCACUAAUGGGCUUGAAGUAGGAAAUCAAUUCUUUCAAUCUUAGAAUAGAGACAAAUUUAUUUUCAGAAUGCCCACCUAAUCUCAAUGAAAGUUUAUUCUGUUUUAGUAGGUUAUGGAGAAUAUUUGUUUAAGUGAUUUUACACAGAGAUGUAAAAUCUUUCUAUACCUAUAUUUGGCAUAUACUUUACUAUAUGUAUGUGUUAAUAUAUAAUGCAUUAGAUAGGGAAGUACUUUUUUUUUUUUUGCAAUGAAUAUUUGGCUUAUUUGACUUAAUUCCCUUGCAUUUUACCAAUUAUGUACAUUUAUUUAGUGCAUAAAAAGUGUAACAAUUAAUAUUGAGGUGUAAAUGAGUAUGCAUGUUCUACCACUGUUUUAUUCAAAUGUGAUGUGUCAAAAUCAAUUUGAUAUGAAAUGCAGAGUGAUAGAUGAGAGUGAUAGAUCUAAGGUAUGUAUAGUACAGUAUGGAAUUCUGUCCGUCUCCCAGCAGCAUUUGAAAAUAAAGAGUAUAAUGUGGUCUUUAAUAGAAGAGUUUCUUGGCGCAUAUGAAAUUGAUCAGAUAUUAUAAAUAAGUUAUACAUACAUUCAGAGAGGAAAGUUAAUGAGGAAAGUUAAA